GACGAGUUUCUCUGCAGCAGGUUCGGGUCGAACGUAGUGAGACAACGGAGCCGCUUGCGGCGACGGCCCGCAGGGCGAGGCGAAGCCGAGUCAUCCUGCACGACCCACCA
rnacentral:sRNA from 1 species